rnacentral:tRNA from 1 species
GUCGGCAUAGCUUAAAGGUAGAGCAGAUGUUUCAUAAACAAUCGUGUGCAGGUUCGAUUCCUGUUGUCGGCACCA